GCUAUACAUGCAAGUCGAGCGCGGGAAGCAAACUGAUCUCCAUUCGGGAGUGACGUUUGUGGAACGAGCGGCGGAUGGGUGAGUAACACGUGGGCAACCUGCCUGUAAGAUCGGGAUAACUUACGGAAACGUGAGCUAAUACCGGAUAAAGCUUUCUAUCACCUGGUGGAAAGAUGAAAGACGGUUUUGCUGUCACUUACAGAUGGGCCCGCGGCGCAUUAGCUAGUUGGUGGGGUAAUGGCUCACCAAGGCGACGAUGCGUAGCCGACCUGAGAGGGUGAUCGGCCACACUGGGACUGAGACACGGCCCAGACUCCUACGGGAGGCAGCAGUAGGGAAUCUUCCGCAAUGGACGAAAGUCUGACGGAGCAACGCCGCGUGAGUGAUGAAGGUUUUCGGAUCGUAAAACUCUGUUGUCAGGGAAGAACAAGUGUGAGAGUAACUGCUCACACCUUGACGGUACCUGACCAGAAAGCCACGGCUAACUACGUGCCAGCAGCCGCGGUAAUACGUAGGUGGCAAGCGUUGUCCGGAAUUAUUGGGCGUAAAGGGCUCGCAGGCGGUUUUUUAAGUCUGAUGUGAAAUUUUACGGCUUAACCGUAAACGGUCAUUGGAAACUGAAGAACUUGAGUACAGAAGAGGAGAGUGGAAUUCCACGUGUAGCGGUGAAAUGCGUAGAGAUGUGGAGGAACACCAGUGGCGAACGCGACUCUCUGGUCUGUAACUGACGCUGAGAGCGAAAGCGUGGGAGCAACAGAUUAGAUACCCUGGUAGUCCACGCCGUAA
rnacentral:rRNA from 1 species